AUGAGGGCGUCGCUGAAAGUGGUGCUGCUCCAUGGCAGCCUCGACAUUUGGGUGCACGAGGCCAAGAACCUCCCCAACAAGGACAUGUUCUCCAAGAGGGUCAGCGAGCUCCUCUCCGUAGGCGGCAAGUCCAACUCUAAAAUGACAAGCGACCCCUACGUCACCAUCCAGGUCUCCUAUGCCACCGUCGCUCGCACCUACGUCGUUUCCAAUAGCGAGAACCCUGUUUGGGCGCAGAACUUCCAUGUGCCUGUUGGCCAUGAGGCUGCUGAGGUUGAGUUCGUCGUCAAGGACAGCGAUGUCUUCGGAGCUCAGCUCAUGGGAACUGUGGCCAUCCCUGCCGAGAAUCUCCUUUCUGGGGACAGGAUUGAGGGCAUCUACCCUGUGCUAGAGCCCAAUGGCAAGCCGUGCGCUCCUGGUGCUGUAUUACAGCUCUCUAUUCAGUACAUCCCAGUGGCUCGCCUUACAAUGUACCACCAUGGUGUCAUUGCUGGUCCGGACUGCCUUGGAGUGCCCAAUACUUACUUCCCGCUACGCCGUGGCAUGAGGGUGACCCUCUAUCAGGAUGCACAUGUGCCCGAUGGUUCUCUCCCAGAUAUCUGGCUUGAUCAUGGAUUGCGCUACCAACAUGGGCAAUGCUGGCGUGACAUGUACAAUGCCAUAAGCCAGGCACGGCGGUUGAUUUACAUUGUGGGUUGGUCAGUGUUCCACACGAUCGACCUCAUACGGGAUGGAGCUGAGAAGGCACCAUCACUUGGGGACCUGUUGAAGAUGAAGUCGCAGGAAGGCGUUAGGGUAUUGCUUCUUGUAUGGGAUGAUCCAACAUCAAGGAGUAUUCUCGGCUUUAAGAUGGAUGGUUUCAUGGGCACACGAGAUGAGGAAACACGUCGGUUUUUCAAGCACUCUUCAGUUCAAGUAUUGCUUUGCCCAAGAUCUGCUGGGAAGCGUCACAGCUGGGUGAAACAGCAGGAAACAGGAACCAUUUUUACUCAUCAUCAGAAAACAGUUAUUGUGGAUGCUGAUGCCGGCAAUUAUAGGAGAAAAAUAAUUGCUUUUGUCGGAGGUCUUGAUUUGUGCGGUGGGCGCUAUGAUACACCUGGGCAUCCUCUGUUUCAGACUCUUCAAACUUCACACAAGGAGGAUUAUUACAAUCCAAACUUUGCUACAGUUGAUGCCCGUGGCCCAAGGGAACCAUGGCAUGACUUGCAUUCCAGGAUCGAUGGUCCAGCAGCUUAUGAUGUUCUGAAGAACUUUGAGGAGCGUUGGUUGAAGGCAUCCAAACGCCAUGGGAUUAAAAAGUUGGGGAAAUCAAACGAUGAUGCACUUCUCAAGAUUGAAAGAAUACAUGAUAUUGUAAACAUUGAUGAUGCAAUUUAUUUUAGCGACAAUGACCCAGAGACAUGGCAUGUUCAGGUGUUUCGCUCUAUUGACUCAAACUCUGCCAAGGGAUUUCCAAAGGACCCACGAGUAGCAACCAUGAAGAAUCUUGUCUGUGGGAAGAAUGUACUAAUUGAUAUGAGCAUACAUACAGCUUAUGUGAAUGCCAUCAGGGCAGCCCAACACUUUAUUUACAUUGAGAACCAAUACUUCAUCGGUUCUUCAUUUAAUUGGGAUUCAAACAAAGAUAUUGGGGCUAACAAUUUGGUACCAAUUGAAAUUGCUCUCAAAAUUGCAAACAAGAUUAAGGCAAAAGAGAGGUUUUCUGCAUACAUAGUAGUUCCUAUGUGGCCCGAGGGUAAUCCAACUGGUGCUCCUACACAAAGAAUUCUUUACUGGCAGAACAAAACAAUGCAAAUGAUGUAUGAGACAAUAUAUAGGGCCUUGAAAGAAGUAGGUCUGGAUGAUAAAUAUGAGCCUCAGGAUUAUUUGAACUUCUUUUGUCUUGGCAAUCGUGAAAUUGGGGACAGCCCUAGUACUCCAAGUACUGCAAAUAAUCCUCAGGAUCAAGCUAGGAAAAAUAGGAGAUUCAUGGUUUAUGUACAUUCAAAAGGUAUGAUUGUAGAUGAUGAAUAUGUGAUCAUUGGAUCAGCUAAUAUCAACCAGAGGUCGAUGGAAGGGAUCAGAGAUACUGAGAUUGCAAUGGGAGCAUAUCAACCACAGUAUACAUGGGCAAAUAAAAUUUCUGCUCCCCGUGGACAGAUUUAUGGCUACAGAAUGUCCCUCUGGGCUGAGCAUAUUGGAAUUAUCGAGGAAGACUUUAACCAUCCAGAGAGCCUAGAGUGCAUGAGGCGGGUUCGUCAACUCGGGCAACAUAACUGGGAUCAGUUCUUUGCCAAUGAGGUGACUGAGAUGAGAGGCCACCUCCUCAAGUACCCUGUAAGUGUUGACCGUAAAGGCAAGGUGAAACCCUUGCCAGGAUGUGCGACAUUCCCAGACAUGGGCGGAAACAUUUGUGGCUCCUUCACGGCCAUCCAGGAAAACCUCACAAUAUGA
rnacentral:rRNA from 1 species